UAAUACGUAGGGUGCGAGCGUUAAUCGGAAUUACUGGGCGUAAAGCGUGCGCAGGCGGUUUGCCGUGUCCUGUGUGAAAGCCCCGGGCUUAACCUGGGAACUGCAUGGGAAACUGGCGGGCUGGAGUGUGGCAGAGGGGGGUGGAAUUCCGCGUGUAGCAGUGAAAUGCGUAGAGAUGCGGAGGAACACCGAUGGCGAAGGCAGCCCCCUGGGCCAACACUGACGCUCAGGCACGAAAGCGUGGGGAGCAAACAGGAUUAGAUACCCUGGUAGUCCACGCCCUAAACGAUGGCAACUGGGUGUUGGGGAAGCGAUUCCUUGGUACCGCAGCUAACGCGUGAAGUUGCCCGCCUGGGGAGUACGGCCGCAAGGUUA
rnacentral:rRNA from 1 species